GAUGAACGCUAGCUACAGGCUUAACACAUGCAAGUCGAGGGACCGGCGUACGGGUGAGUAACGCGUAUCCAACCUUCCCAUUACUGUGGGAUAACCUGCCGAAAGGCAGACUAAUACCGCAUAGUCAUGGAUGGGGAUUCGUCUGAUUAGCUUGUUGUCGGGGUAACGGCCCACCAAGGCGACGAUCAGGAGGGGUUCUGAGAGGAAGGGCCCCCACAUUGGAACUGCGACACGGUCCAAACGCCUACGUGGGGUAGCAGUGAGGCAGAUCGGUCCAUGGACGGAAGUCUGAACCAGCCAAGUAGCGGGCAGGAUGACGGCCUUUGGGGUGUAAACUGCUUUUGUAUGGGGAUAGGUACCAUAUGAAUAAGGACCGGCUAAGUCCGUGCCAGCAGCCGCGGUAAUAC
rnacentral:rRNA from 1 species